rnacentral:rRNA from 1 species
AUUGAACGCUGGCGGCAGGCUUAACACAUGCAAGUCGAGCGGGGUGAUGGUGCUUGCACUAUCACUUAGCGGCGGACGGGUGAGUAAUGCUUAGGAAUCUGCCUAUUAGUGGGGGACAACAUCUCGAAAGGGAUGCUAAUACCGCAUACGUCCUACGGGAGAAAGCAGGGGAUCACUUGUGACCUUGCGCUAAUAGAUGAGCCUAAGUCGGAUUAGCUAGUUGGUGGGGUAAAGGCCUACCAAGGCGACGAUCUGUAGCGGGUCGGAGAGGAUGAGCCGCCACACUGGGACUGAGACACGGCCCAGACUCCUACGGGAGGCAGCAGUGGGGAAUAUUGGACAAUGGGGGGAACCCUGAUCCAGCCAUGCCGCGUGUGUGAAGAAGGCCUUAUGGUUGUAAAGCACUUUAGGCGAGGAGGAGGCUCUUUUGGUUAAUACCCAAGAUGAGUGGACGUUACUCGCAGAAUAAGCACCGGCUAACUCUGUGCCAGCCGCCGCCGUAA